rnacentral:rRNA from 1 species
AUUGAACGCUGGCGGCAGGCCUAACACAUGCCAGUCGAGCGGAUGAAGGGAGCUUGCUCCUGGAUUCAGCGGCGGACGGGUGAGUAAUGCCUAGGAAUCUGCCUGGUAGUGGGGUAUAACGUCCGGAAACGGGCGCUAAUACCGCAUACGUCCUGAGGGAGAAAGUGGGGGAUCUUCGGACCUCACGCUAUCAGAUGAGCCUAGGUCGGAUUAGCUAGUUGGUGGGGUAAAGGCCUACCAAGGCGACGAUCCGUAACUGGUCUGAGAGGAUGAUCAGUCACACUGGAACUGGGACACGGUCCAGACUCCUACGGGAGGCAGCAGUGGGGAAUAUUGGACAGUGGGCGAGAGCCUGAUCCAGCCAUGCCGCGUGUGUGAAGAAGGUCUUCGGAUUGUAAAGCACUUUAAGUUGGGAGGAAGGGCAGUAAGUUAAUACCUUGCUGUUUUGACGUUAAUAACAGAAUAAGCACCGGCUAACUUCGUG